AUUGAACGCUGGCGGCAUGCCUUACACAUGCAAGUCGAACGGUAGAGGGGCAACCCUUGAGAGUGGCGAACGGGUGAGUAAUGCAUCGGAACGUGCCCAGUCGUGGGGGAUAACACUUCGAAAGAAGUGCUAAUACCGCAUACGACCUGAGGGUGAAAGCGGGGGACCGAAAGGCCUCGCGCGAUUGGAGCGGCCGAUGUCAGAUUAGGUAGUUGGUGGGGUAAAAGCUCACCAAGCCAACGAUCCGUAGCUGGUCUGAGAGGACGACCAGCCACACUGGGACUGAGACACGGCCCAGACUCCUACGGGAGGCAGCAGUGGGGAAUUUUGGACAAUGGGCGCAAGCCUGAUCCAGCCAUGCCGCGUGCGGGAAGAAGGCCUCGGUUGUAA
rnacentral:rRNA from 1 species